CCCAGAACCAAAAACAAUAUUAAUAAUUUGGUUUUUCAUAUUCACACAUUUUCAUAUUAAAAUGAACAUGAUGGUACGUUUUCCCAAGUAUUAUUUUUCAUUUGUUCAACCACAGGUAGUCCAAACGUGUAUCAGUAUAUAGUGAAUAUAUGAUUAUAGAAUAUACUACACAGUAAAAUUUGUUAUGAAUUUUAUAUUUUAAAAUUAUAUUUACUUGCCUACUUUGAUUGCAAUCCUCGAAAUUCAACUAUUUUUGCCUCGGCAAAUAAUUGCCGAAGUAAGUCUUUCGAUAAUUUUCAAGUUUGCCUCGGCAAUUUAUUGUGCCGUGGCACGCAAUGAAAUCACCUUAAAUUCCUUCGGCAAUUACUUCGGCACCCUUCAGAAUUCACGUCGGCAUUUUGUAAUUAAAGUAAAGUGCAUGUACAUAUGGAAAUUAUUGUAUAAAACAAAUAUUAUAAGUAUAACGAGCGUAGAUGCCGACGUUUGACAAUUUGUUGUUAUUUUACAAAUUCCUGAUUCAAAAUGUUUUUAAAAAGUUAGUGGUAAACUUGGUAAUCAUGCGACAGUCUAAAAGAUAAAACAAAGUUUCUCGACGUGCCGUCUUUAAACCAUCAAGAUUGUUCUUUAUUUCAGCCGAAGGCGACGCUGUUAAGCUCAAAUUUAAAUAUUUUGUAAAGUAGCUAUGAAUGAAAUCUCAGUUGUUUACCCAACGUCGAUGACAACAAUUCGAACAAAGAAGUGAUACAAAAAACGAACACUGUAGUUUGUAAAUUUAAGGUACAACGGGUGGAAUUGCCUCGGCAUUUUUUUGCCGAGGCAAACUAUGAAAAAUCGUAACUUCCCUCGGCAUUUGCGUCGGCAAUUGCCGAGGCGAAUUUCGAGGGUUGGAUUGUAUGUGAUCGUCUUUUAUUUCUGGGCGACUUUACACUCUAUGCCUGCGACUGUCAUCAUAGGUAAUAGGAAUGAAAGCAAUUCAUUCCUAUUAUUGCUUUCAUUCCUAUCACCUAUGAUGACAGUCGCAGGCACAGAGUGUAUUAAAGACGCCCAGAAAUAAAAGACAAUCACAUACAAUCAAAGUAGCUAGGCAAGUAAUUAAAUAUAAUUUUAAAACAUAAAAUUCAUUACAAAUUUUACUGUAUAUAGUAUAUUCUAGAAUUAUACAUUUACUACCAAUACUGAUACACGUCUGGGCCGCCACCAACAGUUCAGUCUCCUGUAGUAAGGUAUGUUUUCACUUCUGCGAUUCAUCUGGCUGAUUUUGCUGCAUGUUACUGACACAAAUCCUUCCAGUUGACGAUGUUGCGAUUGUCAUCAUAUUACAGUACAGUAUAUACGUUUAUUGUUUUGGAUGGAUGCAAAAUCAGCAAAAAAAUCGCAGUACUUAAAUGUAGCUUUAAAAAAUAAUAAUUUGCAACUGUCAGCAGUUAGAAUGAUUCUUCCAAGUUCAUUUAAAAUGUAUAUUUAAAGCAAGUAAAGCAAGAUCACAACUUGCCUAUGUUGUCAUAUUACAACUCAAGUUGUAAGCAUGUAGACUAAAGUGUAAAUUGGCCUUUAGGUAAAAGGAUGCUUAAUGCCUCUCUUAUAGUCAAGUUCAGGUCAUAAAGUGCCAAAGGCACUGAAAAUGUGCUUUAAAGGAUUAAACAAAAGAGAAUUUUGAGUAGCAUCAUGCAAGUGUAGGUUCAAACAUACAUGAUUAAAUUAAAGAUGCUGUGAAGUCCGUUCUGCGCAUCUUUUUCUGCUCAUAACAACUAAACAAAGGGGGACCAGCAGAUAUAAAUAUUGCCAAAAUUUCGCAUCUCAAAUUUUUAAAUUGAAACGUAGAGGUUAAUAAGUGUUAGAUAUUCAGUUAGUAUAUCA